rnacentral:rRNA from 1 species
ACGCUGGCGGUAGGCUUAACACAUGCAAGUCGUGCGAGAAAGUAUCUUCGGAUAUGAGUAGAGCGGCGGACGGGUGAGUAACGCGUAGGAAUCUACCUAGUAGAAGGGGAUAGCCCGAGGAAACUCGGAUUAAUACCGUAUACCUCCUUAGGGAGAAAGAGGGCCUCUCUUGAUGCUCUCGCUAUUAGAUGAGCCUGCGUAAGAUUAGCUUGUUGGUGAGGUAAUGGCUCACCAAGGCUACGAUCUUUAGCUGGUCUGAGAGGACGAUCAGCCACAUUGGGACUGAGACACGGCCCAGACUCCUACGGGAGGCAGCAGUGGGGAAUAUUGGACAAUGGGCGCAAGCCUGAUCCAGCCAUACCGCGUGUGUGAAGAAGGCCUUCGGGUUGUAAAGCACUUUAAGCAGGGAGAAAAAGUUAUAAGUUAAUACCUUAUAACCGUGAUGUUACCUGCAGAAUAAGCACCGGCUAAUUCCG